CGACAGGCCUAACACAUGCAAGUCGAGGGGCAGCACAAGGAGCAAUCUGAGGUGGCGACCGGCGCACGGGUGAGUAACACGUAUGCAACCUGCCUGUAAGCGGGGAAUAACCCGUUGAAAGACGGACUAAUACCGCAUAAUACUAAAUUACUGCAUGGUAAUUUAUUUAAACAUUUAUGGCUUACAGAUGGGCAUGCGCAUGAUUAGCUAGUUGGAGAGGUAACGGCUCCCCAAGGCAACGAUCAUUAGGGGUUCUGAGAGGAAGGUCCCCCCACACUGGUACUGAGACACGGACCAGACUCCUACGGGAGGCAGCAGUGAGGAAUAUUGGUCAAUGGACGAGAGUCUGAACCAGCCAAGUCGCGUGCAGGAAGAAUUGUCCUAUGGAUUGUAAACUGCUUUUGCAGGGGAAUAAAGUGCAUCACGUGUGAUGUUUUGUAUGUACUCUGCGAAUAAGGAUCGGCUAACUCCGUGCCAGCCGCCGC
rnacentral:rRNA from 1 species